rnacentral:pre_miRNA from 1 species
GAUGUAUAUCAUUUUGAUUGUUGCUCAGAAAGCCGUGUUUUAAUUCACUCAUGAGGCUUUCGAGUAAUAAUUAAACACAGAUACAUC